AUGAUUCUUUUGCUAUCAAAAGUGAUUUACUUUAUUUUCCAAGAGACUUGCAUUAAUAUGUUUACAGAAAAAUUAAACCAGAACACCUGUCUUCUUUACUUCCCAGGAGUAUUCCCAACACCUGCCCCCAUCAGGGAGAAAACUGAUCAGGAGGCACCAUCCCUUUCCACACCAUUCUUGAAUCUAUUCUACAGAACUCCCUCACCUCAUCUAGCAAUGUAUUUAAGGCAGAGGAGGUAGAAGAAGUAAUGGAAAAAACCCACGGGCGACAUCAUCAACUAAACCAGGGAAUGGUGGGUCAUAUCUAAGCCAAAAUUUUUAGAUGAAACACUGCCAAAGAAGAGUGAAGAGAACUUUUAUCUAAUGGUCAAAAUAGAAGGUAACACCCAUAAAAUAUACUCUAUGUUGUGUAAUAAGUGAAUAGGAUCUUUACACAAUAUUUUUUCUAGCUUUAAUUGUUUAGGAAACUUUUCUAAUUGGCAAUUACUUUUCAUAGAAAAAUUUGAUCCAGACUUUUUUUUUUUUUUUUUUUUGAGACGGAGUUUCGCUCUUGUUACCCAGGCUGGAGUGCAAUGGCGCGAUCUCGGCUCACCGCAACCUCCGCCCCCUGGGUUCAGGCAAUUCUCCUGCCUCAGCCUCCUGAGUAGCUGGGAUUACAGGCACGUGCCACCAUGCCCAGCUAAUUUUUUGUAAUUUUUAGUAGAGACGGGCUUUCACCAUGUUGACCAGAAUGGUCUCGAUCUGUUUACCUCGUGAUCCACCCGCCUCGGCCUCCCAAAGUGCUGGGAUUACAGGCUUGAGCCACCGCGCCCGGCCUGAUCCAGACUUUUAUGUGGAAAUUCCCUUUAAAUUAACUUGCUGAAAUUAUUAACGAAGUUAAAAGCCUAUUUUUCCAGACUGAUACUCUCAAGACAUACAAAAAACAGUCACAUUGAAACAAUCAGUUGAUUACCCUCAUGAUGCCUGCAUGUGUUUGUUUCAUGUCAGACACACCUGAGGUCUGUAACUGAAUACAUAAAGAGUGCG
rnacentral:lncRNA from 13 species